rnacentral:lncRNA from 1 species
GCGACCCGAUCAGAGUUACGGAUCCGGUUACGGUGGUCAGACGGAGGCUGAGUACGGUAGGAGACCUGAAUCGGGGUACGGCGGAGCGACGGAGACGGAGUAUGGCCGGAGACCUGAGCAGAGUUACGGAUCUGGUGGCUACGGUGGCAGAUCGGAGGUUGAGUCUGGUGGUUACGGUGGCAGAUCGGAGGUUGAGUCUGGUGGCUACGGUGAUAGAUCGGAGGUUGAGUCUGGUGGAUACGGUGGAAGAUCGGAGUCUGGUGGUUAUGGUGGAAGAACGGAGGUUGAGUAUGGCCGGAGACCUGAAUCUGGAUAUGGUGGGAGAUCGGAGACGGAGACCGGGUACGGAUCCGGGUAUGAGAAGAAACCGAGCUUCGGCGAGGAGAGGAGCGAGUAUGAGCGCAAGCCUAGCUAUGGAAGGUCUGAGGAUCAAGAGGAAGGAGGUUACAGGAAGCCUAGCUAUGGGAGAUCUGAGGAUCAGGUUGAGAGCUACAUAAAGCCCAGCAGCUACGGGAGGUCUGAGGAAGAGGAAGGAGGAGGCUAUAGGAAGCCUAGCUAUGGAAGGUCUGAGGAACAGGAGGAAGGGAGUUACAGGAAGCCUAGCUAUGGCCGUCGUAAUGAUGAUGAUGAUGAUGAGGAGCGCAGGAACCGUUCUGGUGAUGAUGAGGAAGGGAGCUAUGGCCGCAAGAAAUAUGUAAGUUCAAUAAGUUAAAGUUAUAGUCAAUUUGCAUCUAGAUUAUUGUGUGGAAAAUAAGUUUGAUUGUUUAAACAUAAAACCCUUUUGUUGAUGGACUGAUCUCAACAUUGAAACUAAAGAUUAUAGUUUUGGUGAUAACACCCAUUACCCCCUUUAACUUCAUUGGUUCAGUAUUUGAUUUAACAGUGACAUCGUGUAGGUUAUAACAAUCAUAGUACAGAACUUACAUUGUGUUUUUUGCAUCUAGUUUGUUUUGAAAAUAAGUUUUAGUUUGGUUUUGAUCACAGUGUAGCUGUGUAACUCUGUUUUCACAUCCUGAAAUGGAUUUCCUUAAUUUGAAAGCUAUGUUCUACAAUCCCAUAAUAACGUUCCUGGUUCAAUGUUUGUUUGAAUAUAGACAUCUUGAAUAUGUCCCAUUGUUGAUCUUAGUGUAGAGUAGUCUCCAUGUUGAACUAAAGUGUUUGUCUUUCAUUCCCUGUAACUCUGUUUUCACAUCAUGGAAUGGAUUAGCCUCGGUUGAAAGCUAAGUUCAGUGUUUGAUUGAAAUUGCACAUCAUGUAUAUGACAUUUGAAGAUCAUAGUUACAGAGUAUCUAUCUCCAUUCUUAUGGUGGCCGUUAAUAGAGGCAUCACUGACUAAAGUUUUCGCUUAACGUUAUUCAUUUCUGCAUCAAAAUUUGUAGGGUGGCAAUGACUCUGAUGAUGAUGAGGAGAAGAAGCAGCAUCGUUACAAGCAUCACCACCACCAGAGGCGUCGUGAUGAAGACGAUGACUAAAGCCCUCACUCAGUGCUGGAAUCGAGUGCUUCUACUUAGCUUCAUAUUACUAAAUAAAAAGCUAAGUCAUAUUUAUCUUUGGAUGUUGUUGUUGUGUUUGUUUGAUUCUCUCUAGAUACAGCAGAGUCUGUGUCUGGGUUUGUUUCUGGUUCAUUAUAAGACCUUGAAUUGAUAUCGGGUCAUCAUCAUGAUGUAAACUGUUGCUACUCUGUGUUUCGUUUUUAUGUUAUGGAACUUUUCUCUUUUAUGGCUUCUGUUGUUUUGGUUUUGUCGAUAUUAUUAAUAUUAAAAAUCAAAAGUCAUUGCCGAGAAGGAAAAAUAUUUUGUGGUAAAAGCUCGAUUUUUUAUAUUGAAUAUUUUAUGAUUAAAAACAGAAAAAGGAAAAUCGGUUUUGUAAUAGGAAUGGGUUAAUCAGAUACCUAUAUGUACAUUACACAUCUUUUUGCUUCAACAUCAGAAACUUACAACCAAACAAUUCUAAAAGAAGCAAUGUCAAGCGCUACAGUCCUCGAUGAAUCUAGCGUUCCUAGCCCCAGGAGUACAUGGAGGUGAGAUUCCACUAAAUAUAUUGUUAUGUAACAUAAGAUUUUUGAUUAUAAACAUUAUACCGAAACGAAUUUUCUGGUUGGUUGCAGGAUGGACGGGCAGUUACGAUACGACAUUGCGAUGAACACCAUCAUUAUAAUCCUCAUCACUGAUGCGGUCUUACAUAUGACUCUGAGAGCCCACAAGAUUCCCCUUGCUGAUAACGUUGAGGGACUUUUAUGUACAUUUGUAGUUGCGUACGUGUUUGUCAUCACGACUAAUUGCGGGUAUUGGCUUACAGCAAGCGAGGAAGAAGGGUGUUUACUUGGAAUUUACAUCACGGGACGCCUUGGUCACACGUUAGGCUUUUGUAUUUUCCUCUGUCUCCUCUAUUCUAUUUCUCACUUGGCUAUGUACGUUGCUCUACCUUGUUUACUAUGGUUGGUGCCAGCCAUGUUUGCACCGUGUUGUCCAUGUCUGUGGAGAGGAGAGUCAACUUGGUGGAAUUUUGUGAAGCAACCACAACCAACAGUAGAUAUUGUUUAACUUUUGGACUAUUAUUAUUAAUAGAAUUUUUUAAUUCCUAAUUUUGUAAACAUCUCGUCAAUUGUUUGUUCUUAACUUUUCUCUCUUGCGAUCGGUGAAUUUUGUUUCCACUGUCUACCCAUAAACCUCGUGUUGACAUGUGUUUUGCGAUCUAACAAGAUAUUAUUAUGGUUUAGGGAUUGUUUUAGACAUCAAUCCUCUUUUGAUAUGGCUGAAGAAAAUUAAGAGUUCCUAGUCUUGAUUUGUUCCUGCUUAAUGUAAUUUGGGGAAAGUGAUCAUUUAUCUUUUGGUACAUUAUCAUUGUGUGUUGCAUGCAAAGUAUCAAUCUACUUGGAACUUAACAUUGCGUUAUUUGCAUCUAGCUUGUUUGGAAAAUAAGUUUUAAUUUGGUUUAAUCCCGUUGUUGAUCACAGUGUAGUGUGAUCUCAAUGUUGAACUAAAGAUAUCUUUAGUUUGUUCUUUAGAUUCUUUAUGAGUUACUACAAGCCUUUGUCUGCUUCCCUUUGGUUACAGGCUUGUCAUUACUAGUUGUAGAUCAUCAUUGAUUUUGCAGAACAAAAGAUGCAGAAGCUGUCCCAAAUAAGGACACAAGGACAUAAGUUUGUGCUUUAGAUCCUUUAUGAGUUUAUCUUCAGUUUUUGCGUUUUAGAUCCUUUAUGAGUUAUUACAAACCUCUCGACUCUUGUAAGGACAUAAGAUCUGUGCAUUAUCUGGUUACUGGCUGUACAAAGAGCUUGUCAAUUACUAGGUGUAGAUCAUCAUUGUUUCUGUUUGUUAAGAUGCAUUGAUGACACCUUACUCAUUGAUUCCCGAAACAAAAGAAGCAUAAGCUCUCUGAAAUAAGGCGUGGCCGCAAAAAUGCUAAAGUGUUGGUAUGUAGUCUAAGGCAUAGAUCGAAUAAAGCAGCGUUUUCCUUAUUGUCCCUUUGCUUUGUACAUUUUCUUAUUCACCAGAUUAGAAAAAUGGAUCUUGAAGCCAGGAGCCUUCCACCAAGCAUUAAGUCCAGCCUCCUUGUCAAACUAAGAGAGUUUUCAAGUCUGAUCUCAACAACUUCAAAAGCGAAGUCAAGAGAUCGAUGAGGUCAACUGAUGGAUUGGGUCGAACCACAGACAGAAUCAAGAGACUGAAGAGCUUGGCGUCUCAGUCCUCCAAGACUUGCACAGUCAGAGACAGUCUUCCUCUCCUACGCACUAACGACACGGUAUGUGCUCUCUUCAACAAUUUUCUCUUACACGGGUUUUAUCAUGAAGAAGAAUACUACGUGUGAUUGGCAUCUCUUUUAACCAAUAGCUCGUUCUCUGAUACAUACAGCUUAGUGGAGUAGACGACAAUGUAGGAAAAAGCAAGAAGACCUUGACAGGCAUGACUAGGAGGAUGAACAGGAACAAAUGGACCAUUGGAGCCAUUAUCACCGCUUUGGUCGCCGCCAUUAUCCUCAUCUUCUACUUCAAACUCACCAAGUAAGCCUCUGUAUCUAAACUCUUUGUCGCUGAACAAAUGGUGUGCUGUAAGUAGUAACAGCUGAUGACGAGGAAGAAGAUAGAAGGAAGCUAAGACUCUGAGGGACAAAGAGGCUUCUGCAGUUACAGUGAAGCUACUGUAUAAAUAAUAUUAUAGAGGGAGUGAAAGAGAGACUUUAUCGAUGUAUUAGCUCAUGCCUCAUAGUUCCAGUUGAUACUCUGUAUUGUGAGAGAGAGUGAUACAGUUGUAUUGUGUGUGUUAUGGAUCAAUAGAGAUUUGGUUCAUGACAUCUGGCUUUUAUCUGUGUGAUAAGUUAUGUCUUUGCCACCUUUUGUAUUAUCACGUUCUCUUGUUUGUGUUUGCGUUUACAGUUGUGUAUUUUUAUACUAAAUGAUGCAGAUUGUUUUGUUUAUUAUUAAAAGCAAGCGUAAAUUACAUUUUAGACAAUUAGAACUUAAGCCUUGAGAAUAAGAACUAGUUGUGUGUUUUUCUUUCAUUCUUGAACCUGUUAUAAUCAGCGAGCAAGCUAUCAAUAACCUUACGCUUCAUGCUAUCCACCAAACCAGUCAAAAUCUGUAUAAACCUGGAAUAUAGCUGGUUCAUAAUAAGACCUUGAACUGAUAUUGGGUCAUCAUUAUGUAAACAGCUGCGACUCUGUGUUUUGUUUUUGUGCUAUGAAAAUUUCUUAUUUUAAAGCAUAACUUCUAUUGUUUUUCUUUUGUCCAUAAGAAAAUUUAUUUUGUCGUUAAAACCAAUGUGACCACACAAAACCACUUAUCUAAUCUAAUCUAGAAACAAUAUGAAACAAGCUUACUGCCAAAGACAUACACCACAGUUACAACCACCUUUGAAAUCGACAUUCCAAGUAUAAACCAUCUUGGCCACAUGCUGUGAACAGUGGUUGAUCCUUCAGCUUCCUUACGCAGCUGUGAAGGUUCCAAAGAAGAGUGCGAUGACAAGCCACAGUAAGAACCAUCCAGUAUUGAGUUUUCUCCUCAGUGUCUCCGCUUUGUUGGCUUGUGGAGUUGUGCCAAGUUGAAGUACGUCGCCACGAAGCCAAUGUUGUUGAGCAGGAGAUAGACAGUGUAACAUCGCGUGUCUCUGAAACGUAUGUAGCCAUUUGAAUCGAGUCCACCAGGUGGACUUGAGAAGGAAGCCACCGUGGUUAGGCCACCGAUGGCCAACACGAACUUGGUAAGUUCUUCUUGCUCUUUGUAAAGAGCCUCCAAAGGAUCCUGAAAUAAAUAAAGCGUAUGUAGCCAUGUGAUGUGGACUUGAGAAGGAAGCCAAUGUGGUUAGGCCACCGAUGGCCAACACAAACUUGGUAAGUUAUUCUCGCUCUUUAUUAAGAGCCUCCAAAGGAUCCUACAAUAAAGUGUACAAAUUUUGUAACUCAAAUCUUUUCCUCAUUCUCAGACAUCUCUCGCAGAAGACAUACUAACCGGUUUGCCUGAGAAAUAUAAAACUAAAUGUUUAAAGUACAUGCUUCUUAUAAAAUCAAUCUACAACUAUUCAAUAAAACUUGAUUUGCUUUUAUUAAACCCAUUAAAAGCAUUUACACACUCAAUCACACAACUAUACUUAAAUGCCACGACUUUCUCUUGUUCUAAAUAACUUUACGUCUUUACAUGUGUCUCAUUUGUAGACUUUCGUUACUACAUGUAACAUUUUUUCCAUGACUUUCAUGACCCGAAAUGAAGCUUUAAAAGUUCGUGAAACUAGUUUUCAAUAUAACAGUUCAUCAACUUAUCAACACAUUUACCUUAAUAUUCUAUGUUCCAAUAAAAUAAACAAACUUACUGCGAUUAUCGACGAAAUGGAGCUGAGGUUGAGGAAAGUCCUUGAUUUCCUAUCUUCAACAAAAAUAAAAAAGUAAAGAAAUGUUUUGCUAUUACAACAGCUUAUGUAGUGAUUCAGAUAAAACAAAAAAAUAAACACAACCUUCUGAUUGAUGCCACAUGAAAAAUGAUCAAUGUCUCUAAGCUUCUCAUCCUAAACGCCUUCCCCAUACAAUUUACAAAAUUUCUUCUCCUCUACAACUUUUGUCGUUAUGCGAAGAUUGUGAACCUCUGUUCAUUAAAUCGAUUGGGCUUUUUUUUCUUUCUUUUUUAGUAUCAUGUGCUUAAAGAUCCUAUUAUAAUAUUCUAAGUACGUUUUUCAUAGACGAGACAUCCCAAAUUUUUAUCUUUACUUUUCCUACACCAAUUCAUAGCUAUUUAUAUUUUGACGCAAACUAUAUAAAAUCGGAUCAGUUUACUCAAAACCCAGUACGUGGCUAAUCGUAAAAGAUACAUAGAAGUAUUCAACAAAUCAUUUCAUAUCAUUCAUUCAUUCACCCACAAAGAGCUCUCAAAUUGGUUUCGCAACUACAAAACAUCGAAUCCGUUCUUGGAUUAGGGUUUUGAGAUUGAGUCUCAUCAAUUUUUUUUGUUUCUUAUUGUAGAAAAGUUUCACUUUGAGCUACAAGACAACUACUAGUGAAGGAGACCAGACAGUUCCAGAUCCGUUUCCAAAGUUGUUGGAUAUUUUAGGACCAUCUUUAGUACAUUUGUUCUUCGUCCCUGAGAAAAGAGGAGGAUCGAGUUAGGUUAAAUUUGCUACAGGUUAUGUCAAAUUGUGCGGGAGAAUGUCGGUAGUAAAAUGAACUUACUUAUGCACCUUAGUGUUUGUUAUCACACCUGAGUGUGUUGAGAUUCACAAUCUGAUUUUGAUGGAAGAAAGCGGGAAGAAACUAGUUAGCUACUUUCUUGAGAAUUCAUUUGUUCUCAAGAAACUCAUCCCGCGUUUUAGGGAUUCUUUAAUAUAUCUUACUCAGAUUUCUUCAAGGAGCUUCUUAAAUUCAGAAAGCGGUCUUGCAGUUGUCCGAUUAUUUUUCUUUGAGAAAUUGGCGAUUAGAGUUCAUUAUUUAUUUUGAUUUUGAGUAUCAUUGUGUAUGAAUUUCGUAUGGAUUGUAGAUUUUAUUAAAACCUGUUUCAUAAAGAUUUAUUUUUUGAUGGAAAAAGAGUAAACGACUUUAUAAGAUUUUGUUGCAGUUAAAAAUUAAAAGAUAAACAAUUAUAUAUUAUGUAUUUAUUUAUGAAAUAAGAAAAUUAAUUAAUACUUGAUUUGAUAUUGUUAUCUUUAAGAAAUUUUAUACAUUCCAACAUGUUAAUAAAAUUGAUUACAUUAAAUAUAUCAACCGUGGCAGUUACAGCCCCCGAUUAAAGCAUUUGAUCUAGUCAGUAGAUUUCUUGGAAAUCAAGUUUCGAUUCCAUUUCAUUUGUGCAUGUUAAACGCCGAAGUAAUAGCUGUGCUGACUUAAAACAGAUCGGAGGUUUACUGAAUUUGAAUUUGGUCGACUUUGAGAAGGUGAACAAAAUUCGACUGUGAGUUAUUUCAAAAACGUUUUUAUUGAUAAGAUGAAAAAGAGGUUACAAUGUUUGGACAUGUAAAGUAUAAAACACAAAUAUAAGUUGUUGUUUUUAACACUAGAUAAAUUACCAAUUACUAAUGAACAACUAUACAGAUAAUAAAGAGCCUACAAUACUUUGAAAUGUUCGAAGAGCUUUGCAUCUAAGAAUCUGUAAUAAACAAAAUAUAAGUGUAAAAAUCUUUAAACCAUAAUGCUUACACGAGUCGUAUUUGUUGAAAACAAAACAAGUAUGAGUCGUAUGACCUGAACAAAACAAAAUCAAAUAAUAAACCGGAUCUAAUUGACCACUAACCGGAACCGGUUCAAUCGUGAAUUGACUCAAAUCCCAUUAAGCGGCGCAUCGUGAGAAAAAGAGCCAGCAACUGUUCAAAAUAUCUCAAUAGAUAGAUCAAAAAGCAAUCAUGGACACCAUCAUUCAUUAAUAAAUAAUCCUCUGAAACCUCCGUUUGAAUUAUUUCUAUCUUCUCUCCUCUUCUCACAUCGCAUCAUGGGUGCUUCAUCCUCUACAGAUAAUAAAGAAUCAUCGGAGAAGCGAGAAAUCGAAAGCCUCGCUGCUUCCACCGGUGCUCUUCCUCUCCUUCAACGCUCUUUCUCCAAGCUCGCCGAUCCUCAGACCAACACUGUUUCCUUCCAAUCAUUCAAGGUAAUAACGGUUAGGGUUCUGAUUGUUCUUAAAGAGAAUCUGGAUUUGCAAUCACAGUAGUUUUGGGAUUUGAUCGGAUCAUGAAUUAGGGUUUUUGAGACUGAGUUUGAUAAAGAUCGAACUGUAGAUCUCUCUGCUUUAGCUUUAUAAUGAGUUUCAUCAAUUUUUUGUUUGUUUUGUUUCUUAUUGUAGAAAAGUUUCACCUUGAGCUACAAGACAACUACUUGUGAAGGAGACCAGACAGUUCCAGAUUCGUUUCCGAGGUUGUUGGAGCAUUUAGGACCAUCUUUAGUAGAUUUGUUCUUCGUCCCUGAGAAAGGAGGAGGGUUGAGUUGGGUCGAGUUUGCUAGAGGUUAUGUCAAAUGCUGCGGAAGAAUGUCGGCUUCCAUGUCUUACAACAACACUCUGUUGAGAGUUUUUCAUCUGACAUCUCAAAACGCAGGCUUUUCGUCGAAGCUGGAGUUCGAAUCUGAAGAAGCUGAUUGUAAGAUCAACGGGUCGGUCUCGACUUUAGAGUUGGUUAUGUUUCUGUGGAUGUGUUGGACGAUGUCGUGGGAUGGUCGAAGCAGUAGAUCCACCGACUUGUUUCUUCCUGAUAUAAGCCACUUGAUUAUGUCAGCGCUUGUGUCUUGCACCGAAUCUGGAACUAGUUUGGAUGUUUGGGAUUCUGAUGUUUUCGGUUUGGAACUCGAGCUUCCUGUCGGGAAAUUCCUGACGUGGGCAUUGACGACGAUUCCAAGCCUCACUGAGUGUCUAUCUCACUUCUGCAACGCGAGGCUUCAGCAUUGUUUAAAUGCAGAGGUACUCUUUCUUUACUUGUUGCUUCUCGUUUACCCGUAAGGUGUUCACUAAAAGUGAAUUACAGGAUGGAUCUGGGCCUUCAAAGUCAGCUGGUGGAGAUGAUUCUGCGUCCAAGGCAUGUGAAAACACACUUCUUACAUGUGGAAGGGCAUGGGCGAUUUCUUUGACGUCCAAGAAUACCUUAAGUGAGGAGAUCUUGAGCUCAUGCUUUCCCUGCAAUGGCGAUGAACCCAAUGAAAAUCUUCUUUACCGGUAUCCCACUAUCCUACUUCUGUGAAGGUUCUGUCUCUAUAGUGUAACUUAACGUGUUCAAUGUUCAUCUGUCUUUUAGCUCAUACCAUCAUGGGAAAGGCAUGAAUCGAUUGUGGGACAACGUUCAAGGGUAUCAUGCUCCGAUACUAUUGCUAGUUUCUGCAAGCGGUGGAGUUGAGCAGGAGGGUACUUCAAGCGAGAGGAAGUGGGUCAUCGGUGCUAUCUUGCAGCAGGGUUUUGAGAACAGAGAUACAUUUUACGGAAGCUCUGGGAAUUUGUUCUCCAUUAGUCCUGUCUUUCACGCAUUCUCAUCUUCAGGUACUGCACAGAUUAAAAAAAAAUCAUCUGCGUGGUCAGUUGUUUUGCGUUAGUAUAGUCUUAUAUGGUUUUGUGUUCAACUUCUUCAGGGAAAGAGAAAAACUUUGCAUAUAGCCAUCUUCAUCCCUCUGGUAGAGUCUAUGACGCAAACCCAAAGCCUGUUGGAAUUGGAUUCGGGGGAACACAAGGAAACGAGAGAAUCUUCAUCGACGAAGACUUUGCUAAGAUCACAAUCCGUCAUCAUGCAGUUGAUAAAACUUACCAACCUGGCUCUCUCUUCCCAAACCAGGUAACGCAAGUGCUGGUCUUUAUAUAUGUUUCAAGUUUUGUGGUCUUGGGUCUUUAUAAACAUCUGUUGUUGCAGGGUUAUUUACCAGUAGAGGCUUUGGUGUCAGAUGUUGAAGCAUGGGCAUUAGGUGGAAAAGCAGCUAAGGAAGUUCAAGAAGCAUACAAGAAACGAGAAGAGCUUUUCACUGACCAACGUCGAAAGGUAAGAAAAGAUCAAUAAGAUCUAUUUAUAUGCAAAUGCACAAAGGACUUGCAGGUUUGACAAGUGUUUAAUGUAUCUGCAGAUUGAUUUGAAGACGUUUACGAAUUGGGAAGAUUCACCUGAGAAAAUGAUGAUGGAUAUGAUGGGGAAUCCUAAUGCUCCGGCUAGAGAAGAGAGGUAAUGAGUGAGGGGACCAAGACUUGUUUGGUAUAUUUAUGCACAUACAUUUUCUCAA